rnacentral:rRNA from 1 species
CGUUGAUCUAAAAAAGUAUUCUAUCUGCUGCCCCGCUCUUAUCUCCCUCCCCCUCCCCUCCCCUCACCCGCUCACCCUCCGAUGCUCUCUGCCUGCACUAUACCUGCGGUCGCCUGGAUCUCCCACAAGCAGGGGAGCUCCCAGCCGGCCAACUUCCAGAUCUGUUCUGAUGCUCACCAAGGGCAACAAGAUCCUCCAGCCAGGACAACCCUAAUUACCAAGCCCUCUGGGUUUAUCUUGUGGAUCUAUUCUCAUGGAUUUGGUUGAGCUAUCCGGCACAUCACUAGCUGAAGCAAUGUUCGAGAAACUAGGUCUCCCUAAACCAGUACUUUGUGCAUCAUCUUCCACAAGAUCGAUUUAGAACAGAGAUUGAAUUUCACCGCACAAAAAAACGGUACCAUGCUUCAGCGCGGUGGACUAAAUUAUCAAGCUGUAUAUGUCAGGAUGGGUAACAUCAAUGAAUCAUGCAGUCGAUAUGGCCAUCGAAUACAUGCAGAACACAGAGGGUAAGGCGCUUGUGGACUAUAACUAUUAUCAGCUAGAGCAACAGAAAAUGGCACAUACAAGAUUAUCAGCCAGGCUGCUAGAACAAUCAAAGGAAAUCAACCAGCACAGCAAAACCAUCAAGUAGAGAACUAAAGAGGCAUGUAACUAUGUGGAACAAGUGCACAAUGCAUCAAACAAAAUCCAAGACCUUGCUGGCGUUUUCUUGGACCCUGCUGCCUCGAUGUGUGUUUCUAAUAUGAAGCAAGCUAUCAUGGAGAUUCACAUUUCAGUUGUCGCACUUCAAAGCUCUACAAUUACAACAUCUCAGUUCCUAGAGGAAAAAGGCAUGUACUCAGAUGAUGAAGUGCCUGAACAAGGCUACAGUGGCUACUCAGAUGAAAAUUCAGCCGAUGAUAUUCAUCAAGACAUGGAUGAGGACUAUGCUCACUAUGUCCGAUCCCCAUGAGCGUCAUAUUGAGCCUGCUGAACUGUCUCGUUGCCAUGUGAAGCUGUAUAUGUAUGGCUUCACCGCUAGGAAGCAACUCUGUGGUUGUUGUGUUUAGUCUCCUAGGUUGCCUAAAUAAGAUGCGAAGCUGUCUGCUCAUAGCUUCGGCUUAGAAAUCUUUAUCCUUUCUGAACUUCACUCUGGUCAUGUAUAAGUAUAAAGUCUAUGUUGACGUGUUAAGACAAUGUUAUUUAUCUAUGCUACGUCUUUGCUUUUAUCCACUGUGAUCCUUCCUUUCAAUAUCUUUGCUAUAAAC